rnacentral:SRP_RNA from 1 species
GCUGGGCAUGGUGGCGCACGCCUGUAAUCCCAUUUACUUGGGAGGCUGAGGUGGGAGAAUCGCUUUAACCCAGGAGGUGGAGGUUGCAGUGAGCUGACAUCAUGCCACUGUGCUCCAGCCUGGGUGACAGAGUGAGACCCUGUCUCAA